AUCUCACCAGGCGGUUGGCGCCGUUGGUCUCGCGAAGUCGGGUCGGUCCUCGGCCCUCGGCACGCCCGCCCCUCCGCACACAGCCGAGAGCCGCCCUCUGGUCAGGGUGGGCCAGCACCGAGGAGGCCGUGAGCCCCGCUCGGCCCUGCCCGCAAAGGAGCCUUGCACGUGGGCCUCCGGGUAGAGGGCACUGAUCGGAGCGCAGAAGCGCGUUGAAGGCACGUUUGAGGCCGCGGCGGCGCGCGAGUGAGGAAGCUGCCAGGACCCCAGUCGAGGACGUGGGCGGGUGGAGAACGAGCCCGUGUAUCCGUGAAACUGUGCCACGGGCUUGCCGAGCCUGUACAUUUCUAAAUUGGUGGCUGCUCGGAGAACCCAAGGUGGAGUCUUGGGUAAAGGCUGCUGUGAGCCUGGGCCCUGGCACUUGCUCUGGAGUCCAGCUUCCUUCUGACACAUAAAGACCUCUGAAGGAUACAUGUAGCUCCACUUUUGUAUGAGUUGUUCAAAGCUGCAGAGCAACUAGUUAGAAUUGGAACCAGAGUCAGGAGAUUCAUCUACACCUCAGCUGAUGGAUGCAGCACCUUGGAAACAGGCCCAGGAGCUGAAGUCCCAGGACAGGCCAGGACUUGGCCACCUGUGGACCACCUGUCUCUGCCCACAGCCAAAGACCACCAGGAACAAAGUUGGAUUUACUGAUUUGUUGCAGUGAGGGAGACUGCAUACGUGUCUAGAUGAGGAGUCCAGGGGCAUCUCAGUCUGAAGGUGUUACAAGGGAGUUAGAAUAGAACUUGUGUUAAGGACUGUGGGGUCAGUUUCAAGAAAGCAGGAUCCAUUCUAUGAUUGGGUAUCUCAAUUUUUAUAUAGAAGCUGAGACAAAAACAGCGGAGCUGAAGCUGUGGUUGGUAAAGAGACAGCCAUCACUUGCGUUAGCUGGGAGUGGGGGAUGUUGGUGGGUUUGGGGGUUUACACACUGGCCUUGAUUUUGUCUGCCCUCAGACAUGACUGUGGAAGACCUUGCCUGAUGUGAUCCGUGAGAUUGGCUGUAUUCAGCAGCAGAACUUCGCAGUCUAGCUGUGAGCCCCAGGCUGGUCGGAGCCUGCUGCCAGGGACUACUUUUCUCUUUCUCACUGCAAAGGCAAAGCCUUGACCUUCAAGUUGCAGCCUUCUCUCUAUCCUAGUCUCAUAUCUUCAUGGUGGGAUAAGGAUCAUCCCAUUGGAAGAGGAAGAAGGGAUGGAUGAGAAUAAGGAGGGGGAUUUGGGGUGGGGGGUGGGGGUGGGGAUAGCAGCUUAGCUUAGAGUAUUCAUAUCUCUGUCACCUGAACAGAUCCAGGGUUCCCUUUAUCUGGAUAGAAUGGAAUUCCAAAGCCAUGUUGGCAAGGGCGGCCAGCGGGGGGGCGGCGCGGGGAGGAGGGGGAAUUAGGAUACCAUUGCUGUGCAGGUGCCUUCUGAAUUAUUGGAGGAAGUCCCAGUAAAAGGGGUAGGGAAGGCAGUAAGAAAUGGCCAUUCUUAGUACAGAUAAUCCUGACUUAGAAAUACAGUCCACUCUCAGGAAACCUAGGGAGCGUGAUCAUACAUCCCAAUUUUCUGUACUAAGUAUUAUCACUAUUCGAUUACCUGGGAUGUAGUUUUGCUACAAACAAUCCGGGUUUAUACAAGUCCAUUUUUGUAGUGAAGGGAAUCCAUUACUUGUCUGAUCCUCUGAGGAGCAGACAGCAAAAUGGGAUUAGAAUUGCAAGAGGGUUAUUUGGGGAAACACCUGUGAGGGAUCAAGGGUUUGAGGGAGCAGGAACAGGCAGGGGGAGCCCUCUGCAAUACAGGCCCAGCCCCCCUGCUUAAGCAGAGAGGGAGAGAAGGACUGAGGAGGAAGGGCCCCAGGCCACAGGCCGCAGUGCAAUUCUGAGAAAAUCUUGGCCAGGCCUCUGGGGACUCUGCAGGCUGAACUUCCCCAUUAGAGUUGUCCCCAUGGUGGCAUUGGUGGGAAGGGUGUGGCACCGGGGCCCCUGCCGAGCCCCUCUGCCGUGCUCAGUCAUUGCCCAGAGGCAGCCAGGGGCAGCCUGGCCUCCUGUCCCGGAGGGGUGGGGGUGCUGGCAGCUGAGGCCCACUCUCUUGUAGCCACAUCCCCUGGGGGGGCCCACGGAGCCUCCUCGGCAGCAGCACUGAGUCAUUGAACCAGUUUAAAUCCUCCUAGAAGCAGGAGCCAAGAUGGGAUUAGACAUGCAAGAGCUUUAUUGAGGGAGAUGGUCGUGAGAAUUAAAGGGGGGAAGAGGAGGGGGGAAACCCCUACACAAAUGUGGUACAACCUGUGUACUGCUGGUGAAGAAAUAAACUCACAGAAGAGUGUUUUCUUUAAAAAGCCUCCCUGAAGUCACGUGCACUGAAUGUUGGCUUGGGAAAUACGGUUUCUUUAUAAGUCCCUGAAUUUGGAACAUCAGACAAAUAAGGUCUGCCUCAGCUAUUUUUUGCACGGCUCUUUUCUGUGAGGGCUUCGCUGGGACCCUCUUCUCUCACUGCUUCUUAACCUCUCAGUGGUGGGGAGGGGCUGAUUUUGCAGACUUGGGCCGUGGCAGCCGCAACCGGCCCUGCGGGCAUCUAGUGGGUGGAUGUCAGGGGUGCUGAUGAACGUGCGGCAUUGCACAGAACGGCACCCACAGCAAAGGGUUAUCCGGCCCCAGAUGUCGGUAGUGCUGAGGCUGAGAAACUGCCCUACCGAUCCUCUUCAUCCUCUUGCAAGGAAGCCAGCAACAUGGGCUUCGUGGGGAGACCCCCAGGGCCUGGGGCCUCCUGGAUGGAGAUGCUCCUCCGGAAUCAGCCUCAGAGCAAUAGAGCUGCAAAAAGCCUAGUAUUCUGCUGAAGGCCAACCAGCGCUUCCUUUCUAUUUAAAUAGCGAGUUUUUGUUUAACAAAGGUCCCAGGCUCCCAAGAGAUUUCCAGAGGUGUAGGUUAAAGCACAUGAAAUGCCUUAUAUAAGUUACAGAAACUCAUGACAGAAAGUAAAAUGCUUGAACAGUUGAUCCCAAGCAAUAUGCUUUAUAUGCAGUAACAUCUGAGAUGUACCCACGCCCGCCCUGACAUUCUGUCUGUUGCAUUUAGAAUGUAAUUUGAAACUUUCCCAGCCCAUCUUGCUGAAAAUCUACCGAGUUUGGGGGACUCUCUCUAAAAUUUUCCCUAUAAACACUGGCUGAAAAACAUGGAGUUCGCUUUUUCUCCUUCCCGUUGACCCUGUUUGUGUUUUGUGUCCCAGCCAAUAUGACAAACAGCACCAAGGGAAUUCCAGGGCGCAGAUGUCAGGAGCCCUGUGUUGGAAGAAUGGAACCCCACAUUCCCAUGUGUGUUCACUUAGUCUUUACCAAGGGAAUGUGUUAGCACUGAGCACCAGAGAUGCAGGUGACUUUGCCCUGGACUGCAGGGCAUGGACAUAAAAAUGUCAGCGCAUGGUAAGUGUACUUCCGCCCCUUUCCAGGCUCCGCCCACCGCUACCCUGUCAUUUGCCCUGGGAGCCUGACCAGACAGACUGCAUUGCCUGGACCUACUGCCGGCUGCCUUUCAGCUGGGUGCACCCAGUGGGAAGAAAGCACCCGCCAAGCUGGGGGGAGGGGGAAGGGGGAGGCCCGCAGAGGCAGGUGUUAAGAUAUUUCUCCCAGUCACCCUCUGGGCGCUGGCCUGCAUUUUCUUUUUUUUUUUUUUUUAAGAUUUUAUUUAUUUAUUUGAGAGAGAGAAUGAGAUAGAGCGAGAGAGCAUGAGAGGGGGGAGGGUCAGAGGGAGAAGCAGGCUCCCAAGGAGCAGGGAGCCUGAUGCGGGCCUCGAUCCCAGGACCCUGGGAUCAUGACCUGAGCCGAAGGCAGACGCUAAACUGACUGAGCCACCUGGAUGCCCCCAUAUCUCUCUAAAUAUAGGGGUCCUCACCAUGGUUUCGGAGGCUGUAAAAUGGACCAAGCAAGCUGCAACUGUGCAAAAUAACCUUAAUGAUCCGUGGGGAAAAUUACGACUGACCUUUCAAAAGGUUUGUGAAAACAUUACUGUUGCUAAGAGAAAAAGUAGUACAAAUAUUAAAUACACUAAUUUGAAACAUUACAGACAUUGAGAAUCAAAGUAUUUCUUUGGAAAGUCUUGCCAGGAGGAGUUUGAACAAGUGCCUUGCCUGUUCCUAACUCCCAUCUAUAUUCCAGUUUCUAUCACGUUUCAUUGCUUUGCUGCAUUUUCCUCUUUAUUGGCCAGUUCCCUGUUUGUUAUCCAUCUUUGUAAAAUGUCCCCUGAGUUCAUCCGUGGGAGACGAGGCACCACAACUGCAUGCUUUGCUGUCUGUGCUGCAUGAACUGAGGGACCGAUAUGCAGUGGCCAGUCACCUACUGUCUUGGAAAGAGGUGACAUGACUGGUCACCGAUCACACUGUGUGUCUGCUGUUCACGUACUGAUUUCUGGACUAAAGGGCUAGCAGUCCAACUAGACCUUCACAAAUGAAGCUUUCUGCACUUGCUCACAGUUACUAUACCAGUGUAACUGAAAUUUUAACCAGCUUGUUGGGGGCCUGGCGUAAUUUAAAACAAUUGAGAUUAGUGAUAAUUGAAAUUCACCUAGAUCAGACCGUGCAAAACGAGGGCUGCCGGUCGAGGGCUGCCAGUCGUCCUUCCUUAUAGUCCUUUGAACCCAGUUGGAUUCUGCUUCCUGCUGAGACCAUAACUGAUACAGUGUGCAACUAACUCUCCAGGGGAGUGAAAAAGAAAGCUUCACAGAAUGCAGCCAGGGUCGGCCAAGAUAUGCCCUGUGCCUUCUGACUCCAGACCAGCAAUGACUUGUUCUACCAUCCACACAAGGGCAGGCAGGAAGCACCUUCUAGAUCUGCCCUGGGAGUCGACUGACCCAAAAGUAAGGCUGAGACGGCUGUGCUUAGGAACUAGGAAUUUGUUGGAAAAGGAGCUAGGGCCUGACCCAGCUGCCCAACUGAAAACAAGCUUCUCCUGUUGAAAGACCCACAGCAGCAAGUUUUUGGGAACCAGAUGAAUGAAUCAUCAUUCCUUCUUCAGAAUCACUUAAUUCUGCCUCUAGCUUCUAGUUCCCUCCCACGGUCAAGCUCUGGGUCUGCAGUGGCUCCAUGCUUCAACUACAAACUGCUAGUUACCUACUAUUUGCCGUUUCUUCCUUAAAGAGGUUUGAUUUUAUUUGAGGAGCAAAGGUACCUACCUAAAGGGUUGUACUUCUCAGCCUUCUAUGUAGAUAGGCAUUUCACAAAGUUCUGGCCUAUGAAAUAUAAGGAAAAGAGAAGGCUUCUUAAAGGAGCCCAUUCUCUCAUUUUCUUUUACUUGAUGCCUGGAAUGUGGAUAAUAAUGGCUGGUGCUCCAGCAGCCAUUGUGGACCAUGAGGUGACCUCAAAGAUAGAAAGUACACACUAGAAUGGUAGAAUGGGAAAAUAAAAGGAAGUUUGAAUCCCCUAUGACCAUAGAGAUGCCAUACCAGCAUUGGACUAUCUACCUCCAGAUUUCUGUCUUAAGGCCCUGUUAUUUGGGAUUUUUCCAUUAUAUGCAACCAAAUCUAAUCCUAACUAGAUAAAUAUGCCUACUUCCUACUGAAAUUAACUUACACCAAGUCCUUCAAAUUGAGCCUCUACUUCCUGUGAAAAUCAAUAUAAAACAAGUAACCAGGGCGCCUGGGUGGCUCAGUUGGUUAAGCGACUGCCUUCGGCUCAGGU